UCUUGGGUUUUUUUGGUUGUAUAUUGUGGGUACGGAGCAUUGUUGUUUCUCGAAAAUUUACCCAAAUGCAUUCUAGUAGAGUACCAUUGUUCCUUACAAUUGGUAUGGAAAUAUUUAGAAAAGUGUUCAACAUGUUGAGUUCGUGGCACACUGCAUUCAUUCUGGAUGGGACGGGACUCCCGCUCCAUCGAAUCGCUGCAAUGUUGAUAGACUGCAUUC
rnacentral:lncRNA from 1 species